AGAGUUUGAUCAUGGCUCAGGACGAACGCUGGCGGCGUGCUUAAUACAUGCAAGUCGAACGGGGCCUAGCCGAUAGGUUUCACUUAUUGGCGAAAGCCUAGUGGCGGACGGGUGAGUAACGCGUGGGCAAUCUGCCCCUAAGUCCGGGAUAACAGAGCGAAAGUUCUGCUAAGACCGGAUAUGCUUCUUAGGUCGCAUGGCUUAGGGAGGAAAGGUUUACCGCUUAGGGAUGAGCCCGCGUCCCAUUAGCUAGUUGGUGAGGUAACGGCCCACCAAGGCGACGAUGGGUAGCCGGCCUGAGAGGGUGUACGGCCACACUGGGACUGAGACACGGCCCAGACUCCUACGGGAGGCAGCAGUAGGGAAUUUUCGGCAAUGGGCGGAAGCCUGACCGAGCAACGCCGCGUGAGGGAAGAAGGUCUUCGGAUCGUAAACCUUUGUCAUCGGGGACGAUGAUGACGGUACCCGAGGAGGAAGCCCCGGCUAACUACGUGCCAGCAGCCGCGGUAAUACGUAGGGGGCGAGCGUUGUCCGGAAUUACUGGGCGUAAAGGGCGCGUAGGCGGUCUAAUAAGUCAGAUGUGAAAUUCUUGGGCUUAACCCA
rnacentral:rRNA from 1 species